GAGCAAGGAACAGACCCUGGGGUGGUUAGCCCAAGAGGACUUUGCAGGGAGGAUGGUGCAUCUUUCUUUCUGAAUGUCUUUUUGGUGCAAGGACUUGACAGACAUCGUGAGCUGCCUGCUGGAAGGAACCCCACGCAGCAGGCACUGCUUCCCGACGGGAUCUGAAGGACCCUGAGCAUCCUCUCUACCCAAAAGAGACGCUUUGCACCUGCUCCCACCUUGCAUCCUCUGUGCUUUUACUCUCUCAGCCUCUCAUUUAAAAGCAUCCCCAAAGCUCCCCUUCCCCUCCCACCAUGAUUGGAAGCUUUCUGAGGCCCUAUGCAGAAGGAGAUGUGGCACCAUGCUUCUCUCUACAGCCCGCAGAACUGUGAGCCAAAUAAACCUCUUUUUUAAAUUGCAUUUUAGGUUUGGGGUACAUGUGAAGAACAUGCAAGAUAGUUGCAUAGAUACACUU
rnacentral:lncRNA from 1 species